rnacentral:lncRNA from 1 species
UCAGCCUCACCAGUUGUCGUAUCAACCCUAGUAAUGCCACCCAAUUAAAAUGUUGUUCUUUUGGUAGAUAAAAAUCACAAGGUUUAUCAUACGUAUUUAAAAAGUUAACAUAAAAACAAAUUGAACAAAACAGUCACAAUAAUCUAAUGAUGCGAGCCAGCAACAAAUAAUACAGCUUAAUCAAAGAUCGAGCCAAGCUUCAUUUUUUUUCCGAAAUGUAACCGACCAUCUUCAGAAUUUUUUCAUGUUAGUAGGUUUCCAGCAACCUUCAGAGCAAUAACAAUGUUGUUCUUUUGGUAGAUAAAAAUAACAAGGUUUAUCAGCAUAGGUAAAAAGUUACAUAAAAACAAAUUGAACAAAACAGUCACAAUAUAAUGAUGCGACGCCAGAGCAACACAAUAAUACAGCCUUAAUCAAAGAUCGAGCAAAGCUUCAUUUUUUUCCCGAAAUGGAACCGACCAUAUUCAGAAUUUUUUCAUGUCGUAGGUUUCCAGGUAAACCUUCAGAGCACAAGUGCAA